GUCAGUGCUGCGGGGGUAAAGGGGACAUACUAAGCUCCCAGUAGCAGAACAGGUACAAAUCAAUACAGUAUAUUUACUCACUCUUUCUGUGCAAUUCAAGGCCAGCUUGACAGAAACAAGUUAAGUUUCUAUCAAGCAGAAACUCUGUUCCUCGAACAGUCUUAUUUGGCUAAGAGCUUUAGAACUUUAGAAGCUCAGGAUCAAGAGAAGCCUUUUUUGAUGCAUGCAUCCCCUCAAAAAUAACCUUGAUAAGGAGCCAUUAGUCAUGUCACAUAAUAGAGCAGACAACAGCCAUUGUGCAUUGGGGAAACUGAGGCCAGACAGAUUAGGUGAUGUGCCAAGGCCAUGCAACUAGUGAUAAAAUCUGCAGUACCCCCAUUCUCCCGGUUCCCACCCAGGGGCUUUUCCCUAGUUCACCAGCACAGGAAAGCUGCCAAAUAAGGUCAGAAAUAAAAGGAGCUCCAACUGAAAGUCAAACAAUAUUUCGAGUUCUCCCAACAUGCUGGCUCAUAACAAUUGUAACCUCAGUGACUUGAUACUGACAUGAGUUCUUAAUUUUUUUUAAAAAUAAAACUUGAUUUUAGGCAACUUUUAAACCAAUCACUUUAGCUUUGGCUCUAAGCCUAAAGCUAUGAUCUCUGAGUGCUCCAAGCUAACCACUCUGGCUGUCCUAGUUCUUUCGUUUUGACCGUCCAGCUAGAAACAUCCAGAAAAACAUAAAAUCAAAGUCAAGGUGCUACUAAGCAAAUGACACCACCCUUUAUUUACUGCAUCAGUUUCUACUUCCCUAGAAGAAGGAAAUGUAUUUUCUUAAUGUUAUCACUUUAAUAAAUAAGGUCAAAAGGAAUGGUAACAUAAUUUUCUUUAAGAUUAAAAAAUACAUUCCACUUUCAUUCAGACUGUCAGUAUGGAGAAGGCUUAAACGUGCAACUCCUGCCCACUAACAACUGCUGAAAAUCGAAGAGGUUUACAGUACAAGCAGAGCUUUCAAUCCUUCAGUGUGAAGGAGCAGAGAGGGAAGCAAACAAACACAAAAUCCAUCACAGUAUGCAGUGGGCUGUGGCGGAACAUUCUGCUUAAAACACAUGGCACCCAGGGAGAGAAAGAAGACUGAGAAGAGACGUUCCACAUAAAUAUCUGCAAGUAGAGUCCUUUCCUAAGACCCGUGUUCUUCAUGCACAGCAUAAAAUUAAGCACCUGCAGUUCCCUACUCAGGAGUCAGAUGUGGUAGCACCAUGGCCUGCCUCUCAUACAAUUAAGCACAGUAGGCUUAAACUUAAUUGCAUAAAGGUCGAAGUCACAAAGCUGGAUUUCUCAUUGAAUGCCAGGCAUCUGCUAGAAAAGACAGAUACGUACUGAGAAAAAUGGGAGAGCAGGCUUUGAAACAAAGAGGCAGGGCUGCAGAACAGACAGGGGCUGUUGAACCUUCUCUGUGUCCCUUUUACAGUGGCAGCUGGCCAGAUACCAGCUUUUGUGUUUCUUGUCACAGCCUACAAAUUUACCUGGGGUUCCUUUUGAAACUCCUACACCCAUGGCCUUUGGGGGAAAGUCCUUCAAGCCUUUGUAAAGAGCAGGUUUGUGAGGAUGGUUGUUUUUGUUCGUUCCCUCACACGCUCAGUUCAACCAGAGGAGUUCUGAUCCAUGAAAGAAAACCCACAGGGUAAAAAAAUGUCAUCAUGAAUGCUGUGCAUCAAAAUCUUACAAAGCUGGACACAUGUUCACAACUUCCCUAAUUUAAAAAAUCUAACCAAAGCAAUUCUCUUAGCCCACUAAGAGGGUUCUAAAAUUCAGAUUUUGUGACAUUAUAUAACUAAGCCAAUUAUUUCUUGAAUUAUCUGUUUCCUCAAUGAUAUGAGACUCAUAUCAUCACCUGCCCUCCUGUUGAAGUGGGGCUGGUGAUGACGAUCACAGAAGAUCAUGUGCUUUGAGGGGCACUAUGCAGUGUAAGAGAUCAUUCCUGGAUGUGGAUUCCAGAUUCAACGAGGGGAAAAAUACUACAACCUAUGAUAAAUAAAUUUUUUGCACAUAAA